GCUCUCUAGGUGAAAUGAUAUGAGAUAAGACCAUAUCUUGGAAUGAGGCAUUGCAAUCUGUAUGCUGCAUGCAAGGCUGAAGGGGACAUUGGCCCUCAUAGGCCAUGUGCUCGAGAUCAAAUUACAUGUGUGCAGAAAAAUUCAUUUAUUCAUUUAUCUUUUCCUUCAGCAGGCAUUUUUCAGAGUGCCCACGCCAUUCUAGUCAAGGUGCUCAGCACAAGGCACAAGGAAAGAAACUCAGUCCAAACACGGAGUUUAUGCUCGGGAGGAGGGUAUGGGAGAAUGAAGUGAAAGAGAAAAGAAAUAACUACAAAGGUGGUGUGCACCCCUCUCCAGCUCCUUGCUCUCAGAUUUAUACACAUCCUCUUAGCAUCCUACUCAGCAUUCCAGAGCAAGGCAGGCUCUCCACCAAGGCACCCCGGAAGGUCACUGGAUCGGCUUCAUCUCUGGAAACAGAGAUCCAGUGGUCAGAAUAUGGCCAGCAAGCAGCUUAGAUGGUCCAACUACAGCUGCCAAAGGCUGCCUUUCCAGGAGGAACGCAGUAAGCUUCCUCAGAACGUCCCUGUGGAACCGAGUCCCACACUCCCCAAGUGACAGCACACUCAUUCACUAACGCUUGAUUCAUCCCUCCACUUUCCUUUUCCUUUCCCUACUUCCUCACUUAUGCUUCCUGGAACAACUCCCCCCAAAUAAAUCUGCACCCAAGUCGUCAUCUCGGGGUCUGCUUUUGGAGGAACUUAGACUAAUUUAAGAGGAGACUAUAAAUAAGAGUGGCUAUCCAAGUGUCAUGUAUUAGCUGGCCUUCGUGGGUACCUUGAGCACUUUACAACAGUAGCGAGUCCCAACUCUACCCGGUGCGUCAAGUGUGAAGGCCUCCCUUUGUUAAAGCGUUUAUGGGAAUUCUAAUAGUAAGUCAGCUUAGGAACUACAGUAAUCCAUAAUCAUAAACUUCUAAAGUGUUUCUCUUCUAUUGUUCUAUAUCAGUAAACUGGAAAUCACUUAUUGAUAUCAAGAGCAAGGAAGGUUUUUUUUUUUUUUUUUUUUUUUUUUUUAA
rnacentral:lncRNA from 1 species